rnacentral:snRNA from 1 species
AGAUGUGAGGGUGACCUGCAUGUGACAUCUGUCACCUAAUUGAUGGCCAAGGUUAAUUCAACUGACAGAGCUGGUUAGGUAGGUGUUCCCUUCCUCCCACACCACUCCAUGUGUGCCCCUUCCAAAGCUGGGGCCUUGGUCCUCUUUGUCUAUGUAGGUGUACAAGGUAUACAAGUAGCAGAAGGUAUACAAGUAGCAGGUAUACCAUUGAAGGUAUACAAGUAGCAGAACUCCCAGCUAGAAUCUCCAAAAAGCUCUCAAAAUUGGAGGACUCAAACUUCCUGAUAUCAAAACUUAUGACAAAGCUACAGUAAUCACUAUAGUGU